rnacentral:misc_RNA from 1 species
ACAGUUAAACUUACUGAUAACCAUGUAACUCCAUGAAACAAGGUCACUAACCACCUAUGAAGUGGUAAUGCACUAUGCGUAUUCUUGAAUUGUUCUUCAAACAUCCAAAUGAACAUGGACACAUACAGUAUCCCCAAGAAACCAUUAAAAAUAGCACAAGUCAACUGCAAACGUGAGAACCUAGAAAAGCUAGGAACACUGGUGUAUUUUAAUGAUAUUGUA